rnacentral:rRNA from 1 species
UCUUCGGAACCAGAGACCGGCGCACGGGUGCGUAACGCGUAUGCAAUCUACCUUUUACAGAGGGAUAGCCCAGAGAAAUUUGGAUUAAUACCUCAUAGUAUAACAUGACCGCAUGGUCGAGUUAUUAAAGUCACAACGGUAAAAGAUGAGCAUGCGUCCCAUUAGCUAGUUGGUAAGGUAACGGCUUACCAAGGCUACGAUGGGUAGGGGUCCUGAGAGGGAGAUCCCCCACACUGGUACUGAGACACGGACCAGACUCCUACGGGAGGCAGCAGUGAGGAAUAUUGGACAAUGGGCGCAAGCCUGAUCCAGCCAUGCCGCGUGCAGGAUGACGGUCCUAUGGAUUGUAAACUGCUUUUAUACGAGAAGAAACACUCCGACGUGUCGGAGCUUGACGGUAUCGUAAGAAUAAGGAUCGGCUAACUCCGUGCCAGCAGCCGCGGUAAUACGGAGGAUCCAAGCGUUAUCCGGAAUCAUUGGGUUUAAAGGGUCCGUAGGCGGUUUGGUAAGUCAGUGGUGAAAGCCCAUCGCUCAACGGUGGAACGGCCAUUGAUACUGCCAGACUUGAAUUAUUAGGAAGUAACUAGAAUAUGUAGUGUAGCGGUGAAAUGCUUAGAGAUUACAUGGAAUACCAAUUGCGAAGGCAGGUUACUACUAAUUGAUUGACGCUGAUGGACGAAAGCGUGGGUAGCGAACAGGAUUAGAUACCCUGGUAGUCCACGCCGUAAACGAUGGAUACUAGCUGUUGGAAGCAAUUUCAGUGGCUAAGCGAAAGUGAUAAGUAUCCCACCUGGGGAGUACGUUCGCAAGAAUGAAACUCAAAGGAAUUGACGGGGGCCCGCACAAGCGGUGGAGCAUGUGGUUUAAUUCGAUGAUACGCGAGGAACCUUACCAAGGCUUAAAUGUAGAUUGACCGGUUUGGAAACAGAUCUUUCGCAAGACAAUUUACAAGGUGCUGCAUGGUUGUCGUCAGCUCGUGCCGUGAGGUGUCAGGUUAAGUCCUAUAACGAGCGCAACCCCUGUUGUUAGUUGCCAGCGAGUCAAGUCGGGAACUCUAACAAGACUGCCAGUGCAAACUGUGAGGAAGGUGGGGAUGACGUCAAAUCAUCACGGCCCUUACGCCUUGGGCUACACACGUGCUACAAUGGCCGGUACAGAGAGCAGCCACUGGGCGACCAGGAGCGAAUCUAU